CAGCCAGGGAGGUGUAAGUGGCUGUGAGAGGAAGACAAGGACAGUAAUGAGGUGAAAGGACCAGUUCAUCUUUCCUUAUGCAACAGCACCUGGGCAAAGGAAUAGUGCCACCCAAUGACCAGGAAUGAGGUGGAUCCAGUGGCACAGGAGCAGCCAGCAGGAGCAGGGCUGGAGGAGGAGGAGUGAGACCCGAGGCUGGCAUCACUCAGCACCUUUCUGUGGGAUCCUACAGGCCAAUCCCUGUCACCUCCUGGGUUUCCAGGGCUCUGAAGGUGCCCGUGGCACUGUGUGCACCCACAGCUCCCUCCCACACCUCACACUUCACAGAUCCACUGAGCACACAACAAACCACAACCAAAGAUCACCUGAACCGCCCUUCUGCAACUCAGAAUUGCAUUUUUGUUCAUCCUCUGUAGGCAAAAGGUUUAUUUUUAUACACACAGUGGUGGGAGCACCCACAGACCUGCGUGUUCCACACUCCCACCCACGGGAGCUGAUGAGAAACCACCCAGAUGGAAACAAGAUCACAUCUUACAGCUAACUGGGUAAAUGGUGUGCAAAACAUGGAAUAACAAACCUGCAAGCUGGCUACAAAGAAGGAUUAACAGCAGUAACAACAAAGUCCCUCGAAGACCAGAGAAGCUGGAACUGCAGGUCCUGACCACCUGCAAAGACCUCCUGCUAAUUAGUCAUUAAUCACAUCACCCGAGUCUCGUUAUGUCAUUGGAACAACUUGCAACAAUUUUCUUCAAUUCUCACGCUGUUUUUUUCCAUCCUUCAGACAAAUUCUGGCAGUUGACCCCGACUACACUCGGGACUAGAAACUGGAGAGGAGCUGCUAAAAUCACAAUUCCUUCUGGGAAAUUAAAAACUGAGAAGAGAAACCCACUUCCCUUAAAUAUUCACCAACCAAAUCUUUCAAUUAAAACAAAGCAAAACAAAAAAAAGGCAGAAAAAUUGAAGCUCCAGGGAACCCUCCCACGAGGUCUGAGCCUCAGCACCCACCCUGAGACAAAACAUUCCCGUUCCUGUCUCUCAAAAACAGCAGCUCAUUUUCCAUCCCUCUUCCCAGAUGCAGCACACGUGGGCAUGGGAGCCCCACAAGGUUACCAGCUGAUGUCCUUCAGCAUAAUUGUCCAGGAAAAUUGUUAUUCUAAGGAAGUUUAUGAAAUUAUUAUUUUGUCCAACUUUCCAGUUCAGCUUCGAGAUCAAUCUGGGUGAACUAAUUUCAUCUCCCUAAUGAUUAAAUGCUUCAUAUUAGUCUAACCCUGAGAAGGAGAGUUCAAGAAGGCUGGGUUUUUUCAUUCCCUGCAAUAAUUAGAUCUCGAGAAUAAUUCUGUACCUCCUUGCCUUUCUCCAAAUUUAUUGUUUCUUAUAAAAGCUUUCCUGCCCCUCCUGUUGCCAUCUGUCCUUAUGGGCAAAGGCUGAGUUUAACUGUGCCCAGCAAAACCAUGUGUGGAUUUACAGACUGAAUGCACUGGGAAAGCAGUGGAGAGCCAGGCUGGAGCUGGAGUGAUUCACAGCAGUGCCACAAAGCCAGAAAUCCUGGAAUUUCAGCUCCAUCCAGCUAUAACCACAAAUGUUUUGACACAAGAGGGUGAAACACAUAAAAAGAGAACCUCUGGAUUUUUGCAGCAUUAAAACCUACACACUGCUCCUGCAACAAUUCCCUGAACUUUUAUCACAGUGAAUCCCAGUGAAACCCCUGGCCCUGGGCAGAAGGAAGGAAAGGCUCUGGAAACACUCCAAAACCAAAGUUUUAUCCUGGAAAACCAAGCAGAGCCUUGUUUUAUCCCAUCCCUCCCAUGACACAGGAGGCAGAUUCACUUCAUCCAGCACUAACCUGUUCCCAACCUGCUGGGACCAAAGGGACCACGAAACAUGGACACAGGGAAGGGUUGGAUGCAUCCAGACUGUGAAAAUUCUUCAAAAUUGUGGGGUUUUCCUCAGCCCCUUUGGGAUUGAGGCAGGUCUUGCCCCCACUGCAGCCUCCAGCUGCCCCAAGCUGGGCUUCCCAGGGUUCUCAGCCCCAGGACUGGAACCAGUUCUUCAUCUCCAGAGAGAAUUUUUUCCUAUGAAAACAGGUAUUUGGUGCCUCAGGCUGGACUUUUUUAACAACAAUAAUACAAAAUGCCUGGAACAAAUUGAUUUUGCUGCUCCUGUAUUUAUUAUGCAGGAAGAGUUGUCCCUAAUUAGAUAAUAUUAGAUUUCUUGGCUCACAUAAAGCGAUUCAAAAGAAAGAGAUUCGUUAUUGAUGGGACAAACCAUACAAAGAAACAGAGCAGGGUUUAAUAACGUGGAAAAAUAUCAAAGGCAGAAAGGGUUUAAUUCUUAAUAAGUAGAUCCAUAGGUUUCAUUAACCAGCAUUCAAGGGGGUUUUUUUUAGGGUCGCCUUUAUUACCUAAUUAAUUAAAGCCUGACCAAUAAGAUAGAUUAAUCUAAUGGAAUCACAUCUUGUAUUAAUAGCAAUACUAAUUAGUCACUGAGUGAAGCAUUCCUCGUGUGCUGAGGAGAAAUUUUUUCCAGUGCAAAGCUGGAGAGAACACUGGGAAAAGGAAGGGAAAGGGUGUUCCAUCUCCACAUUCCCAGGAUGAGGGAGGCUCUGGAUAAACCAGGACUGCACUGAGACACAGGGCAUCCUGGAUUAUUUUAAAAUCUCCAGUCACACACAAACUGCCUGAAUUCCAAUGAAUCCCAGAUUUGACAUCACACCUCCUCUCCUCCUCCCUACCACACGUUCCCAGCCGGGCCAGAUGCUGGGACUCCAGGAUGUUUUUAAGGAGAAUCACUGGGAGCUGAGUCACUGCCCUCAUCAAAGCAUCAGGAGCUGCUUUAGAGUCUCUCUGGGCAACCUGGGCCAGGGCUUGAGAAGGAGGAGGAAGGUGGAAAAAGAAGGGGAAAAAAAACAGAAGGGGAAAAAGGGG